rnacentral:rRNA from 1 species
GAUGAACGCUGGCGGCGUGCUUAACACAUGCAAGUCGAACGGAAAGGCUCCUGCUUGCAGGGGUACUCGAGUGGCGAACGGGUGAGUAACACGUGGGUGAUCUGCCCUGCACUUCGGGAUAAGCCUGGGAAACUGGGUCUAAUACCGGAUAGGACGAUGGUUUGGAUGCCAUUGUGGAAAGUUUUUUCGGUGUGGGAUGAGCUCGCGGCCUAUCAGCUUGUUGGUGGGGUAAUGGCCUACCAAGGCGUCGACGGGUAGCCGGCCUGAGAGGGUGUACGGCCACAUUGGGACUGAGAUACGGCACAGACUCCUACGGGAGGCAGCAGUGGGGAAUAUUGCACAAUGGGCGCAAGCCUGAUGCAGCGACGCCGCGUGGGGGAUGACGGCCUUCGGGUUGGAAACUCCUUUCGCUAGGGACGAAGCGCAAGUGACGGUACCUGGAGAAGAAGCACCGGCUAACUACGUG